rnacentral:tRNA from 1 species
CGGGGUGAAGUAGAGCGUGUCUUUGACGUAGACAAGGCGAUAGGUUCGAAUCCUAUACCCCGCA